CCGAAAGGCGUAGUCGAUGGGAAACGGGUUAAUAUUCCCGUACUUCUUACAAUUGCGAUGGGGGGACGGAGAAGGCUAGGUGGGCCUGGCGACGGUUGUCCAGGUUCAAGUGCGUAGGCUUAAGAGUUAGGUAAAUCCGGCUCUUUCUAAGGCUGAGACACGACGUCGAACUACUACGGUAGUGAAGUCAUUGAUGCCAUGCUUCCAGGAAAAGCCUCUAAGCUUCAGAUUGUAAGGAAUCGUACUCCAAACCGACACAGGUGGUCGGGUAGAGAAUACCAAGGCGCUUGAGAGAACUCGGGUGAAGGAACUAGGCAAAAUGGUACCGUAACUUCGGGAGAAGGUACGCUCUUGUCGGUGAAGUCCCUUGCGGAUGGAGCUAACGAGAGUCGCA
rnacentral:rRNA from 1 species